UCCUUCUUGUAUGGAACCCAGGGUUCGAUUCAAUUUGUAUUGAUAGGACACUAAGGUGACACAACUCAUCAGAAUUAAAGUCUACCCAUUUCUCUGUGAAAUAAUUUUUAGCAUGAGACUUUGAUAAAAUCUCAAAUAACUCUAUUAUAAGCUUUAUUUUUAUCUGUUUCGAUAGUUAUGAAUUAUGAUUAACAUCUCAGGUUGGUGCUAAGAGUAUAGAUACAUAUUUUUUAGUUUUCCAGAUUUUUGGGUAUAUACUCGGGUGUUUAGGUGAUUUUUUUUUUGUUUGCUUUUUUGGAUUUUCUGAUUAAUUUUGAUGUUCAAAGAUAUUUUCAAGUUUAAGGUAUAUCUCUGGUUUUAAACAUUUGAACCGAAUUGUUCCAAAAAAAAACAUUUGAACCGAACCAAAUAAAAUUUAUUUAAAUAUCAACGGUUCAAAAACUGAGAUUCAAUCAUUCAAACAACCCAAAAUUGAUACGAACUGGCCUGAAACCGAAGUCGAAACACAUAAAUUCUAAAUGGGUUCAGAAUUCAUCUACCCAAAAUUUCGGUCCCAAUAAAAAACCGAUCGAACCUGACCUAGAGACCCAAAUACCAAUGCUUGUUAGUUUCUAUGUGAAUGAGCGAAUAUGCGUGUGUAUACAUCUCUAGGUUUACGGUUUAGUGGUUUACCCACAUGGUUCACGGAUACAAUACAAAAAUACACUAAUUUAUAACACCUCUAGGUUUCUUGAAAAGUUAUAUGAUUUGGUAUCUCGCAAUCUUGAGUUUCUUAGACUUUUUUUUUUGAGUUUCUUAAACUUAACAUAUGAUAGGGAUUAGUACUUAGAUGUAAUAAUCAUGUGGCCGUGAUUAUUUUAAACCCAAUUAGAACAAGUGAGGAGCCCACAUGAUGAAGAUUCAUGUUAUAUAACGACCAAAACCUUAGCCUUUCUCAACUUGAGGCGGAAACACACACCAAGCCAAAUCCAUUUUGUUCUACUUAUCAACUUGUGUCUCGCAUUACUUUUUUAUAAGAUAGCAAAUAUAUUUUUGUUCUUUACGAAUCAAAUGUGUAUACAAAGGAUAGCCCUUAUAGCUCCUGCAAAAUUUGUGGCUUAUGCAAUUUGGAGAGAAAUAUAAGGACACUAUUUUAAUGUCCCAUCUACGUUAUCGACCAUAUAAGAAAUGAUACGAAAGAAUACUAUCUAUUUGCCAGCUGGGAUCUAUACAAAUUUUAAAUUUUGAUUCUAAUAUAAAAAAUUCAUUUACUUUUUCCGAAAAGAGAAAUAAUUUUAUUUUUUGCUACUUUUAUU
rnacentral:lncRNA from 1 species